CAAUAGCGUAUAUUAAAGUUGUUGCAGUUAAAAAGCUCGUAGUUGGAUUUCUGGUGGGAGCGAUCGGUCUGGCGCUUAGCGCGAGUACUUGCAUCGUCUCCGGCCAUCCUUGGGGAGAGUCUGUCUGGCAUUAAGUUGUCGGGCAGAGGAUCCUCAUCGUUUACUGUGAAAAAAUUAGAGUGUUCAAAGCAGGCUUAUGCCGUUGAAUAUAUUAGCAUGGAAUAAUAAGAUAGGACUUUGGUACUAUUUUGUUGGUUUGCGCACCAAGGUAAUGAUUAAUAGGGACAGUUGGGGGUAUUCGUAUUCCGUUGUCAGAGGUGAAAUUCUUGGAUUUACGGAAGACGAACUACUGCGAAAGCAUUUACCAAGGAUGUUUUCAUUAA
rnacentral:rRNA from 1 species